GCCAUUUGCAAGGAGUUGGGGUGGGGGGGGUUUCCCCUGGGACAAACAAAACAAAGCAGAUUUCUCUGCUAGAGUUCCUUUGAACCAGAAAUUACAAUCUUUGCUCCAAGAGACAAGAGGAUUACAAAACAUCUUAAAUGUCCUCCUUUUCUCCUUUUACUGCAAAGCUCCAAUGAACUCGAAACCCAGGGGUAUUCACUGUAACACAACAGAUUAAGCAAAUAGGACUGGAGAGUCAUUUGGGAUCUUUUUCCUUUACACAAGGCCCUCUGUGAGGGUAGGGCUUGUGGGGCGAGCCGCGAAGAAGAGAUCGCCUUUGCUAAGGCAGGCACAGCUUCACUAGGCACAGCAAUUAUUCUAGAAACAUCUGGAGCAUGAAAUUUUAAAAUGCCAGAAUUACAGUGGAUCGAGAUGGAGCCUUGGAUAUUCUCUGCACAGUGCCACAGGAGAGGCCAGGGAGCUUUCCCAGGAGGGUGCCUGCGGCUACUUUUGCAGUCAUAAACAUACCGGCC
rnacentral:lncRNA from 1 species